AAGAGAGAUGAAAACUCUUACAGAGAGGUUUAAUUUUUUUUCUCCUUCAUCCAGAUAAAUAUUGGCAUAUUUCCCCAAACAGAUGGGUAAAAUGACCUGGGAGUUAAGGAGAAAGCAGGUCCUUAGACACUGAGGGGAACAGAAAUGUUACCACAUGUUUAGAACAAAUGACAUGCCAUGGUGGGCCAGGCUGAGUAAUGGCGGCCUUCCUCAAGGUUUGCUUCUUGGGGACUUCGCUGGGGAUUUUCACUGAUAUGGCCGUGAAGACUUAUCUCAGCAAAGCCCCUCAGAAGUCCAGCAUGUUGGUGAGGCAUUGGCACAGGCUGCCUGGAUGGUGGUCCCUGGAGGUGUUCAAGAACCGUGGGGAUGUGACACCGAGGGACCUGGGCAAGGAGACCAGCUCUCCCCGCAACCCAGCGCCUUGCAAGAGUCUGCCCCAGCCAGAGCUCGCGCUCAGCCUGAGAUGUGUUUGCCAUCCAGUGUUCUGGGCCAGCAUUAAGACAGAUGUGGUAUUGAGGACCAAAGACUGACUUUACCAAAAAGAAAGGAUGCUGACAGAAGGUAUUACUGACCACCGCUGGAUGUUGGCCAUCCUGCCAGUGUCGCCUAGGAAAUUUGGCAGACUUGGCAGUGCAUCUUCGGAAUCUCGCCUUUCAGUUUCAUUUGCACGUUAAAAGUACUGUUCCAAAAUGAAAAUAAAAGGAUGUUCCACUAACAGUCGGCCCUGGCAAGAAUAAAUACUACAACUCUGAACUCAUCGUGCUAGUGAAUGCAGCUCUGAACUCAUCGUGCUAGUGAAUGCUGUGCUCCAGCAGUUUAUUUAAUAGUGGUGUUAUUUAUAGAAAGCUCCCUCACGUGAUGUUAUUGCCAGUAACACAGAUGUCCCUUGAAUGCACUCUACUUUAAAUAAAGGUGAAAGGCU
rnacentral:lncRNA from 1 species